AGGGCAAAGACCCUGGGAACUUCUGUCAAAACCCACAGAAAUGCUUGGAGAGGCUCUACCUCUGCUAGGCCCGUGCUUACCACGUUUCCAGCCUCCACGGAACCCCCUGUGGCCAUGUUAGAAGGGUUGCAGUUCCUCCCACUACUGGAAUGUUCCUAUGUUCCCUUGGUGGUUUUUCCUAUUUUACCUCUUCAUUCCAGUGUCAGUUCCAUGGAUUGGUCCCCUUUCCUGCCCCUCUCAGGAUGCAAUACGUGGUUUGCAGCAGUGAUAAAAUUCAGCUCAAACUCUGCUGAAUAGUAUAUAUAAUCAAAACAAUGCUGAAGAAGUUAUUGCUUCAUAUUUUGUGGAUAGAUAAAGGAAGAACUAGAAAAGUUUGUGGCUUAUUGCUGCUACCCAGGAUCAUGACUGAAUAACACCUUAUCCCUCAUUCAGAGAGUGUUCUGUUCAGUGUUCAAGGGCAUCUAGAAGCAUAUUAUUGUAAAAAAUGAGACCUUGCUGUGUGUAUCGAGGACUUUACUUCUCUGCUGAUGCCUUAAUUUUACUCAAGAAGAAAAUUAUUGAAAAUUCUAUAGCACAGGCAGAAUAAACUCUCAAAAAUAUCUAAUAGUAUACACAGUCAA